GCCUGGCUGGCUCAGUCGGGAGAGCGUGUGACUCUUGAUCUCAAGGUUGUAAGUUCGAACCCCACGUUGCGUG
rnacentral:tRNA from 1 species